CUCUGUUUCCUAAGGAUUCAGGGCAAAAAGGAG
ncrna:Pontibacillus halophilus JSM 076056 = DSM 19796 L31-Firmicutes ribosomal protein leader